GCAUCAGUGGUUCAGUGGUAGAAUUCCUGCCCUCCAUGCAGGAGACCUGGAUUCGAUCCCCAGCCAAUGCA